UACGUAGGAUCCAAGCGUUGUCCGGAUUUACUGGGUGUAAAGGGUGCGCAGGCGGACUUGUUAGUCAGAGGUGAAAUCUCACUGCUCAACAGUGAAACUGCCUUUGAUACUGCAGGUCUUGAAUCCAGAAGAGAGUUGUGGAAUUCCGAGUGUAGCAGUGAAAUGUGUAGAUAUUCGGAAGAACACCAGCGGCGAAGGCAGCAACUUGGUCUGGUAUUGACGCUCAGGCACGAAAGCAUGGGGAUCAAACAGGAGUUAGA
rnacentral:rRNA from 1 species